rnacentral:rRNA from 1 species
UCGUCGUAUGUUAUAUGUGUCAUACGAGACUGCCGGUAAAAGCCGGAGGAAGGUGAGGAUGAUGUCAAGUCAGCAUGACCUUUAUAUCCAGGGCUACACACACGCUACAAUGGUCUGUACAUUGGGUAGCCAAGCCGCGAGGCGGAGCCAAUCCUGAAAGCAGGCCUCAGUUCAGAUUGCAGUCUGCAACUCGACUGCAUGAAGCCGGAGUUGCUAGUAACCGCAGGUCAGCAAUACUGCGGUGAAUACGUUCCCGGGUCUU